rnacentral:ncRNA from 1 species
AGAAGCCGUAUGAGGUGCAAAUCUCAUGUACGGUUUUGUAGAGUGACAAUGAAGACAACUUACCUGUCAAAAUUUCCACUAUCACCCCAAAAAAACCAAACUCUGCCUUACAUAAAUUUUCCAGAGUACGAUUAACUUAUGGAUUUGAA